GCGGGCUGACAUUAGCAGGCAGCUGGAGAUGCAAUCGUCUCUAAUUGACAGCCUUCUGCAGCGACAGCAACCUACAACUCCACCUCGAACUUCUCGACCAUCUCCAGCUCGGAGACGCAGUAAAUGCACCAUCUCGUAAUGGUCACCAUGUUCCCCCUGCCAACAACGUCUUUGGGAUAAUAAGCACGUUUAGAGCUGCUGCGAGCAUAUCUGUCAAUAACUCACAGCUUUGACCGUUUGAGUUUCAUCAAUCAAUACAUCAGUAGCAAGAUAGCAAUAAAAUGCAGGAACAUCGGCUGGAAUAAUUGUAACAAGAAUAAGCGACUUUCAGUAACUAUUGUUUGUUACCAUUACAUUCUUAGGUACUUCAACUGAUAUGUGCGUUGGUAUCAAAAAGCUUGUGAUUUCUGUCGUGUAAUGUGUAAGUAAACCUCUUACGAGCACAUACAAAUGUGUAUCGAGCAAUGA